rnacentral:rRNA from 1 species
UACAGAGGUCUCGAGCGUUGUUCGGAUUCAUUGGGCGUAAAGGGUGCGUAGGUGGCGCUGUAAGUCGGGUGUGAAAUCCUGAGGCUUAACCUCGGAACUGCAUUCGAUACUGCGGCGCUUGAGGACUGGAGAGGAGACUGGAAUUCAUGGUGUAGCAGUGAAAUGCGUAGAGAUCAUGAGGAAGACCAGUGGCGAAGGCGGGUCUCUGGGACAGUUCCUGACACUGAGGCAACGAAGGCCAGGGGAGCAAACGGG